UACAGAGGGGGCAAGCGUUGUCCGGAUUUACUGGGCGUACAGCGCGCGCAGGCGGCCGCGUAUGUGACCGGAGACAUCUGUGGGCUCAACCCGCAGCGGCCCGGUUACACAGCGCGGCUGGAGGCAGGGAGAGGGAUGUGGAAUACCCGGUGGAGCGGUGAAAUGCGUAGAGAUCGGGUGGAACACCAGCGGCGAAGGCGGCAUCCUGGCCCUGACCUGACGCUGAGGCGCGAUAGCGUGGGGAGCAAACGGG
rnacentral:rRNA from 1 species